AAGCGCUUGCAGCCAGACUUGCUCGUUGGUGAUCAACCUUCCUUCGGGGAGGUGCACUCUCCCUCGAUCAGGCCAGCAUCGGUUUUGGCGGCCGGACAAAGGCCCCGGGAAUGUGGCUCUCUUCGGGGAGUGUUAUAGCCCGGGGUGCAAUGCGGCCAGCCGGGACCGAGGACCGCGCUUUUGCUAGGAUGCUGGCGUAAUGGCUGUCAGCGA
rnacentral:rRNA from 1 species